GUUUCAGAUGGACCUCUGUGGUGUUGAAGC
rnacentral:other from 1 species